AUGAGUUUUGCUUCUCUGUUUGAAUUUUUCGAUUCUUCAUUCUUUGUGAUGUAGUUUUUUUUAUAAUGAACUCAUGUUAUUUACAUGUUGAAUCAGAAAGACGGUUGAGAGAAAAAGGUAAACAUACAGAAAAAAUUAAAGAAUUUUUUUUCCCGUUGAUUGCUGGUUUAGGUUACGUUUUUAGUAACAGAAAUCAGCAUAAAUAGGGCUCUUCAUUCCGCUUCAAAGAAGCAUCAUCCUACAAUUAGGUUGUAUCGGUAUCUUAGUGUAAUUGGGGUUUUUGUACCUUUCAGCAAAUUCUAUGGUUUUAAUCAUUACUUUUUUGGUUUUUUUGGUACGAUUGUUUUUUUUCUGCCGCAAAAAUUUGCUACAUAGUUUCAAUUAAAUCAGCUUCUUUCUUUUGUUUGAUUCUGUCUUGAAUGAUUUCCAUUCAUAUCAUCUUGGUCCCUAUGUCACCAUUUGGCUUCAAAUAUAUAAAUUGUUUCCCCUUUCAUUUUAAUGGUGUCUUUUAUGUGAUGAUAUCUUUGGUGCACUUUGAGUUUUUCUCCCAGUGUUGGAUUUGUACUGCAACACCUGUCCUUCUCCUUGAUUUUGGACUGUCAUCAUGUAUUUCUCUAAUUUUGCGCUGAUUUCAUGUUAGAGGUGUCAUCUUUGUAUAUAUCAUGCAACAAAGUACCAAAGAUAAAUAAAGGUUCAGUUGGUUAAAUUUGAAUUUAUCGCUCUAUAAAAUUCAAUUUAAUUAAGUUAUAGUGUACCGAGAUGCAUAAUUUCAUUGAUGCAAAGUGCUAUUGACAACAUUUUGUAUAAGUUUCUGUUUAGUAGUUUGUAAACUGUAUCACCUAAAUUGGUCUCUUUAACCAAUACAUUAACGGGUUAUCAUCUGACUCUACCACUAAUUUAGAUAAUCACAAACAAAGUCAGCUUGACCAUUGUACCGGUACAGAGACGACAGGUAAAACAUAGCAUGGAUGAGAACGAAAAUAUAAUACUGCUCAUUCUUUGAAGCAGUGUAUGAAUUUCUUCUCAUCUUUGGAUUUGACUGAGUUGGUGACCCUGAUGCUGUAGCCUGUAAAGUAUCUCGAACAUCGGAGGAGAUUGGUUUGUGAAGUUGUGAGUCGGAAGGAUACAAAAUUCAAAAAACUCGCUCAGAGGGUAGACAGAAAGGUGGAGCUUGGCAUAAGCACCGAUCCAAGCUCUUCUUUUGAUUGCAUAUUACAAUCAAUGGUUAUUUGUCACAUUAAUAUGCAUUAUUUUUGCUAAAUUGUUUUGUCAAUGAAAUCGCAUCAUAUCUUUUCUAGGUUCUCUUGACUUCUUCCGAAGCAGUACUAUCUGCUCUACCUUGCUCAAGUCCAGGUGCUAAGAGAAAGAACAAUGAAACACUAUCAGGCCUACAGCUUGAUAGAGGGGAGUAUCCAAGAGAGGAAGCUGGGGAGUACUUGGAGGAAGAUAAACUAAAAGUGAACGCACUUGAGAAUAUGUCUAUUUUGUUGCCAAAGAAACAUUAUCUGAGAGCAUGUUCCUCCUCAUUUCUUUUACUCUAUGUGAUCUAAUCUUUGUCUUCUGCACGAUACUUUCAGUUACAAGAUAUAGUGGAUAGUCUGAACUCAUCAACCUCUCCAGCCAAGGAAAUAAUGUUGAGGUUCUCUUAGAUGAAGAUGACAACGAAGAUGAAUCACGCAGGGAGGGGGUAUUGUAUUAUGGUAUGCUAAGGCUAAAACAACCUGUUACAGGCACUACCACAACUUCCAUUGCAAGGUGUUUCCCACUAACCUGAAAACAUCCGAAUCAUAUUUUGCAACCCCAUCAAACGAUAAUGGGUAACAUUUUUAUUUAUUUUUUAGUACACCAUGCUUACAGUACUAUAGUCUACUUAUUCUGAUAUAUCUAAGGUUUUGUUAAGCAUUUGCUUAUAGGUGUUCAUUUAUGUUAAGAAAUCAAGGUUUGUUUAAUGGAUUUUUGAAUUUUUGGUUGGCAAUAGUUAUUUUAUUAUUUUCGUAAUGAUAUAGACUUGCUUUAUACGUAGACAUGUCUCUCUAUUUUGAACUCUUUACCUCUAAAAGUCUCUAAGCACCCAGCUGAACUUCGUCACAUCUUUCGAGGUUAGUGGAAAUAUAGGCAUUUGGUAUGAUACCUUUUUCUGACAUUUUCCAAAAUUUUGUCCUGUUACAACGUAAUGAAUGCAUAUAUCUUCUUUGUUGCUUAUCUUUUUAUUUUCCUCCAGGUUAAGCAUAAUUUAAUUUGAUAACAAUGAAAACGAAUUGUGCUGGAAACCGAGGUUGGAAGUGCUAAUUGAAGAUCUAAACGGGAUUGCUUUAGUUCGAAAAAGGGCUGUCACAAAGGAUUGGAUUAGAAGUUUCAUGUGCCCAUUAGAUUGGCGGUGUUCAUGAAAAAAUUCUUAUGCUUAAAUUGAUGACGUGGAGUUACAUCGUAGUUCUGGCAUCAGGGACAAAGUUGGGUUGGAAUUCAGUUCCUUUGAUUUUCCAUUAAACAAGCAUACGAGGGAAUGGUGCUACCAAACUACAUGCUGAAUUUUCGGCAUAACAUAUAGGUUUUCUUAGCAACGAGACUGCUCUAGGGAUGGAGGCUGUUUCAUUUUGAUCGGUUUAGUUUAGCCUGUUAUUUUUGGUGGGGCUAUGAGCCCAAGAACUUGACCAGGGAUGGAAGUGUUCCAUAUGGAAUAGUUAACUGACAGUGGAAUAAGAGAUUGACAAAGACACGUGUUUCUUUCAUUUUUUUAGUAGGAGAUAUCAGAAUACGUGGCUCAGGAAGAGGACAUGGGAUCGACCGAUAUGCGAGAAAAAAUUAAGCUGAGAAUGGAAUCUUAUACUCAUGAUCGGUAUACAAUUAAGGAAAAUUUCAAGCAUUUUUUUGGUGGAAUUGCGGAAAAAUUGGUGGGAAUUUAUGAGCAAGUCAAUUAGAAGCGAAAAUGGCUUUGAUAGUAGUAGAUUCUCAAGGUAUUCCGAUCAUCUGCACAGAAAGCACGCACCAGCUAAGGCCCCUAAAUGACCGCUCAGUGAUAAAGGAGGUAGGGGUGCAGAGACAGCCAGGAGGUUUGCCUAGAAGCAGCCACCCUUGAAAGAGUGCGUAAUAGCUCACUGAUCGAGCGCUAGAGAAGAGGGAGGUCAAGGAGAACGGCGAUCUAAGAACCAGAGUCACCAACAGUUACAGCACCAUCCACAUUUGAUAUUCCAUCCUACCAUACUCAGGCUGCUCUGCAGAAGGUGUGUUGGACGAGUAAAUUAAUUAGUCUGGAGAAGUAGUAUAUGGUGAAACCUGCGAUAGU